AAGAGCAUAAAACCUAGAUGUGAUUUAUUCCCACCAGGAUGUUUAAACAUUUUAACAGUAAAGUAUUAACAAAGGGCCACGUGGUGGAAGAUGCUCAGGCUGAGAGUGGGGGUGAUGGUGAGGGAAUUGGUAAGAGUCUGGCUAUACCUGUUUGAUUUGAGUUUUUUUAAACCUACCAAUGAGAUUAAGACAAAUGUAAGGGAAAGAUAUAACUGGCUUAGGUGACGUCCAGGAAAGAAUGUGAACCCUGUAGUACUCAGCCAAUGAGGAACCAGGGGAGGAACUCACGCACUAGGAGAUAAAUUAUUGGCGCCGAACUCCCCAGGUGUGCCUGCUCACCAGACACCCGAUCUUGCAAGGCCGUUAUUAAAGCCUCGCUCCGCUGUUCUUUUUGUCUCCGUGUCCACUUACUGAGUUUGGACCAGUGAGUGUGUUUCUCACAAUUUGGGGGCUCAUCCAGGAUCCUCUUGCCUGUGUGAGGUGGGGGCCCAAGUGGAGUGAGAAGACGCGUCCUGCCCGGCUUUGGGCGGCCCGCUCUGUUUGCGCUUCUCGCCUUCACAGGGAAGCCGAGAGAAGGCCAGAGAUUGUUGUACGGAGACAGCGUGACCGACGCAGGGGAGAAAAUGCAGGCACCGCAGCAACCAGGCAACCCCGUGCACGAGCCAAGGCUGAAAGGACUCCUCACCCAGACUCCCCCACUUGAGUUCUUCGCUCCCUGCUUCCAGCUUGGAGACUUGGUGUUAGUAAAGUCCUGGAAAGAUGGACUCCAGCCCAGCUGGGAAGGCACCUAUCAAGUGCUCCUGACCACAGAGACUGAAGUGAGGAUGGCUGAAAAGGGUUGGACUCAUUACACCAGAGUAAAGAAACUGAGGGAUCUGGGGACAAAACAGAAAAUUGGCCAGUGUCCCAGGUGGCUAACCAACCUUUACGGCUGAAACUAAAAGUAACCUAAAAUGUUAACUAUUAUCCUUCUAAUUCAGUAUUUCACAGGCAAGUCACAGGGAGCCCUAGAAUGGAAAGGAACUCCUGAUUAUCCUGUCAAACUGGUAAUCAAUAUUACUGAAACAUCAAGCCUCCAAACCACUAGGUUUGAUGCUUGUCAGGUUCUCUCUUGUGGUGAUCGAAAUGACCACAGACAGCUUUCUGGAGAUAAUAAGUAUAUCUGUUCUGAAUGGACAAAUGUUAACAGAAUAAAAAAGGCAAGUGGGCCCCCAUGUCCGGGGUGGAGCAAUGUUUGGUGGAGUACCCAGUUUCAAGGGUGGACAGCCCUUCAUGCAGCAGAAAAAUCUUUAAAAAGAAAGCUCCACUUAGCUAAAGGAAUUCCUCCUGAUAAUUUCCAGGACAAACAGUGUAACCCCCUCUUAUUAACUAUACAUAAACCUCAAAACUUAGACCCUGUGAUUGCUCCUUGUGUUUACGGACUCAGUGCAGAUGUCGUUGGAGUAAAUCCUGUAGGAAGGUUUGGUCUUAAUUUAAUCAAAGACAAGACUUCACCCAUAGUGGCCACCCCUGAUCCUGAGGGAAAUAAUGAGCCAGAGCUUCCCCAUAAUGACCCUAGACUAGUUACUGUAACAGAUAAAAGAUCUAAAACAGAUCUAAACUAGCCAAUCCUCGUGCCACUGUAAAUCUGUGCUCUGCCUCCCCCUACCUUCUUUAAAAACUCCCCACCUGUCUGGUUGCACACUACUUCCCCAGCCUGUAUUAAUGCAGACUGGUGAACCUCACCCAGGAUUGCACUCAAAUAAACUGGCCCUUUGUUGC